ACGAACGCUGGCGGCGUGCUUAACACAUGCAAGUCGAACGAAGCUUGAUUACGGAUUCUUCGGAUGAAGUAUGAUAUGACUGAGUGGCGGACGGGUGAGUAACGCGUGAGUAACCUGCCCUUCAGAGGGGGAUAGCGUUUGGAAACGAACGGUAAUACCGCAUAAUGUAUUUUGACCGCAUGAUCGAAAUACCAAAGAUUUAUCGCUGAAGGAUGGACUCGCGUCUGAUUAGGUAGUUGGUGGGGUAACGGCCUACCAAGCCGACGAUCAGUAGCCGGACUGAGAGGUUGAUCGGCCACAUUGGGACUGAGACACGGCCCAGACUCCUACGGGAGGCAGCAGUGGGGAAUAUUGCACAAUGGGCGCAAGCCUGAUGCAGCAACGCCGCGUGAAGGAAGACGGUUUUCGGAUUGUAAACUUCUGUUCUUAGUGAAGAAUAAUGACGGUAGCUAAGGAGCAAGCCACGGCUAACUACGUGCCAGCAGCCGCGGUAAUACGUAGGUGGCAAGCGUUGUCCGGAAUUACUGGGUGUAAAGGGAGCGCAGGCGGGUGAUCAAGUCAGCUGUGAAAACUACGGGCUUAACCCGUAGACUGCAGUUGAAACUGUUCAUCUUGAGUGAAGUAGAGGUUGGCGGAAUUCCGAGUGUAGCGGUGAAAUGCGUAGAUAUUCGGAGGAACACCGGUGGCGAAGGCGGCCAACUGGGCUUUAACUGACGCUGAGGCUCGAAAGUGUGGGGAGCAAACAGGAUUAGAUACCCUGGUAGUCCACACUGUAAACGAUGAUUGCUAGGUGUGGGGGGUCUGACCCCUUCCGUGCCGGAGCUAACGCAAUAAGCAAUCCACCUGGGGAGUACGACCGCAAGGUUGAAACUCAAAGGAAUUGACGGGGGCCCGCACAAGCAGUGGAUUAUGUGGUUUAAUUCGAAGCAACGCGAAGAACCUUACCAGCACUUGACAUCCAACUAACGAAAUAGAGAGAUAUUAGGUGCCCUUCGGGGAAAGUUGAGACAGGUGGUGCAUGGUUGUCGUCAGCUCGUGUCGUGAGAUGUUGGGUUAAGUCCCGCAACGAGCGCAACCCUUAUUGUUAGUUGCUACCAUUUAGUUGAGCACUCUAGCGAGACUGCCCGGGUUAACCGGGAGGAAGGUGGGGAUGACGUCAAAUCAUCAUGCCCUUUAUGACUUGGGCUACACACGUACUACAAUGGCGUUAAACAAAGAGAAGCAAGACCGCGAGGUGGAGCAAAACUCAGAAACAACGUCCCAGUUCGGACUGCAGGCUGCAACCCGCCUGCACGAAGUUGGAAUUGCUAGUAAUCGUGGAUCAGCAUGCCACGGUGAAUACGUUCCCGGGUCUUGUACACACCGCCCGUCACACCAUGGGAGCCGGUAACACCCGAAGUCAGUAGUCUAACCGCAAGGAGGACGCUGCCGAAGGUGGGAUUGGCGACUGGGGUG
rnacentral:rRNA from 1 species